AAUUAUUCCUGAACUUGUCAAGGUUAACCCCACCCAGGGUUUUCGGAGUGGUAUAAAUACCUGUGUGAUCCCUUGUUUAAGUAUCAGAAGCUUAUUAGCAGUCUCUAGCAGCUACAAAGUCGCUAAGUCUCAACUCAGACAACAUGAAGGCCUUUUUCGCCCUUUUCCUCGCCCUGUUUGUCGUCGUGGCCGCCGUCUCCGCCGCCGAACCUGAGGCCAAGAAGGACUUGAAGGGAGCCGAGCAGUUUUACUACGCCGCGCCCUACGCAGCCCUCGGCGGCUAUCCCUACGGUUAUGCCGCAUACCCUGCCGCAUACUACUACCGCUGAUCGCCAUAGCCCGCUUUAACGGAAGACAUCUGGAUGACGACACUGCCCAUCUGAUUGUUCAACUGACGGACUUUUUAACCGCGGUCCGUUUCUUCAACAAUUGGAAACGAUAACUUGAAAGCGUCAACUCCUAAAGUACUGGGAAGAUACCGUUAAAAAAGCGGUAGAAGAUACGUCAAAAUUUAAGCAAUAAUUCUAUUUGUUUCUAUUUCUCUGUCUAUGUUUCCUUGUGGCAUUUAUAUUACUAUGCGGUU